UAAAAGGUUCUUUUAAGAGCCAUGCAUGGUUUCAGCAAAAGAGUUG
rfam:Erinaceus europaeus unplaced genomic scaffold scaffold00740, whole genome shotgun sequence